AGGUUUUUGAGCCUUUAAAUCAGGCCUGUCCAACCUGCAGGCCCCCCAGAUGAUGCUGAACUACAACUCCCAUGAUUCUUCAAAUUAAACAGAUAGCCUGGGAAUCAUGGGAGUUGUAGUUUAACAACAUCUGGGGGGGCCGCAGGUUGGACAGCCCUGCUUUAAAUGGUCUCUCAGUCU
rnacentral:miRNA from 1 species